rnacentral:ncRNA from 1 species
CCGAUGCGGGACGCUCAUGAGAUCCCAUGAAGGGUGUGGUGCUAGACAGCAGGACGGUGGCCAUGGAAGUCGGAACCCGCUAAGGAGUGUGUAACAACUCACUGCCGAAGCAACUAGCCCGAAAAUGGAUGGCGCUCUAGUGUCGAGCCUAUCCCCGGCCGCUGCCGGCAGAUGCACGCAAACAAGGGGGUGCUAAGCUGCAGCGAGUAGGAGGGCCGCUGCGGUGAGCGUUGAAGGUGUCGGGCGUAAGCCCGCCUGGAGCCGCCGCUGGUGCAGAUCUUGGUGGUAGUAGCAAAUACUCAAGUGAGAACCUUGAGGACUGAAGUGGAGAAGGGUUCCAUGUGAACAGCAGUUGAACAUGGGUCAGUCGGUCCUAAGGGAAAGGAGAAGUUCUUUCCGAAGCGGGAGCACUUUUUUGCAGUGGAGAGAGCCCCGCAGUGACCGAAAGGGAAUCGGGUUAAUAAUCCCGAACCCGGACACGGAGAUUGGUCCUUCGGGGCCCAGUGCGGUAACGCAAACCAGCUCGGAGACGCCGAUGCGAGCCCCGGGAAGAGUUUUCUUUUCUCUGUAAGGAGAUCGAGUCCCUGGAAUGGGUUCGCCCCGAGAUAGGGAUGGUGGCUCCGUAGAGCAGUGCGGUUCUUGCGCUGUCCGGUGCGCUCGCGUCGGCCCUUGAAAAUCCGAGUGAGGGAGUGUGAUUUUCGUGCCGGACCGUACCCACAUCCGCAGCAGGUCUCCAAGGUGAACAGCCUCUAGUCGAUGGACCAAUGUAGGUAAGGGAAGUCGGCAAAACGGAUCCGUAACCUUGGGAUAAGGAUUGGCUCUGAGGACUGAGCCGGUCGGGCUGGGGACCUGAAGCAGGAACGGCACUGCACCGGGACUGGGCGGGGCUCGCCGUUCACGCGGCGCGGCCAAGCCCGGACCAGCGUCGGGACCUUCCUGUGGAAAGCCUCAGCUGCGCGGCGUCUGAGGGCUUCGUGCCCAAAGUGCUAUGCUUCGGCCGGCAAAAAACAGUCAACUCAGAACUGGCACGGACCGGGGGAAUCCGACUGUCUAAUAAAACAA